UACGGGGGGUGCGAGCGUUGUCCGGAAUCACUGGGCGUAAAGGGCGCGUAGGUGGCGUCGUAAGUCUGUGGUGAAAGCCCGGAGCUCAACUCCGGGUCUGCCGCGGAUACUGCGAGGCUUGAGUGCUGUAGAGGGGGGUAGAAUGCCGGGUGUAGCGGUGGAAUGCGUAGAGAUCCGGCAGAAGACCGGUGGCGAAGGCGGCUCACUGGCUCAUAUCUGACGCUCAGGCGCGACGGCGUGGGGAUCAAACAGG
rnacentral:rRNA from 1 species